rnacentral:rRNA from 1 species
UACGUAGGGUGCGAGCGUUGUCCGGAAUUACUGGGCGUAAAGAGCUCGUAGGUGGUUUGUCGCGUUGUUCGUGAAAACCUGAGGCUUAACCUUGGGCGUGCGGGCGAUACGGGCAGACUGGAGUACUGCAGGGGAGACUGGAAUUCCUGGUGUAGCGGUGGAAUGCGCAGAUAUCAGGAGGAACACCGGUGGCGAAGGCGGGUCUCUGGGCAGUAACUGACGCUGAGGAGCGAAAGCGUGGGGAGCAAAAGGG